rnacentral:misc_RNA from 1 species
GAUGAAGAACGUAGCGAAAUGCGAUAAGUAGUGUGAAUUGCAGAAUUUAGUGAAUCAUCGAAUCUUUGAACGCACAUUGCGCCUUCUAGUAUUCUGGGAGGCAUGCCUGUUUGAGCGUCAUUAAACCUCUCUCAAGUAUGAUUACUUGGAUGUGAAGGAAGAGUACCUUAAACUUAAGGAGUGUUCUCCUUUGAAAUUGAUUAGCAGAUGGUAAUGUUAUUAAAUCCCUGAUGUUGUAAGAAAUAACAGUGGUUUUGUAGACUAUUAUCUAGCUUUAAAUUAUAAUUUUUAUUAUGGUUGACCUCAAAUCAGGUAAGGAUACCCGCUGAACUUAAGCAUAUCAAUAAGCGGAGGA